rnacentral:rRNA from 1 species
AUACGGAGGGUGCAAGCGUUGUCCGGAAUCACUGGGCGUAAAGGGCGCGCAGGCGGUUUGGUAAGUCAGAUGUGAAAGCCCAUAGCUCAACCAUGGAAGUGCAUUUGAAACUGUCAGACUUGAGUACUAGAGGGGAAAGUGGAAUUCCCGGUGUAGAGGUGAAAUUCGUAGAUAUCGGGAGGAAUACCGGUGGCGAAGGCGACUUUCUGGCUAGAUACUGACGCUGAGGCGCGAAAGCGUGGGGAGCAAACAGGAUUAGAUACCCCAGUAGUCC